GAGGAUUUAGCUUAAAAAAAGUGGUUGAUUUGCAUUCAAUUGAUAUAGGAAAUAUAAUCUUGUAAUCCUUA
rnacentral:tRNA from 1 species